GNGCACGCCGCGUGAGUGAAGAAGGUUUUCGGAUCGUAAAGCUCUGUUGUAAGUCAAGAACGGGUGUGAGAGUGGAAAGUUCACACUGUGACGGUAGCUUACCAGAAAGGGACGGCUAACUACGUGCCAGCAGCCGCG
rnacentral:rRNA from 1 species